ACAAUGGAGAGUUUGAUCCUGGCUCAGGAUGAACGCUAGCGGCAGGCCUAAUACAUGCAAGUCGGACGGGAUUCAGGGAGUAGCUUGCUACGACUGAUGAGAGUGGCGCACGGGUGCGUAACGCGUGAGCAACCUACCCAUAUCAGGGGGAUAGCCUCUCGAAAGAGAGAUUAACACCGCAUAACAUCAUACCGGCAUCGGUUGAUGAUCAAAUAUUUAUAGGAUAUGGAUGGGCUCGCGUGACAUUAGCUAGUUGGCGGGGUAACGGCCCACCAAGGCUACGAUGUCUAGGGGCUCUGAGAGGAGAAUCCCCCACACUGGUACUGAGACACGGACCAGACUCCUACGGGAGGCAGCAGUAAGGAAUAUUGGUCAAUGGAGGGAACUCUGAACCAGCCAUGCCGCGUGCAGGAUGACUGCCCUAUGGGUUGUAAACUGCUUUUGUCAGGGAAUAAACCUUUCCACGUGUGGGAAGCUGAAUGUACCUGAAGAAUAAGGAUCGGCUAACUCCGUGCCAGCAGCCGCGGUAAUACGGAGGAUCCAAGCGUUAUCCGGAUUUAUUGGGUUUAAAGGGUGCGUAGGCGGUCCUAUAAGUCAGUGGUGAAAGACGGCAGCUUAACUGUCGCAGUGCCUUUGAUACUGUAGGACUUGAAUCUAUUUGAAGUGGGCGGAAUAAGACAAGUAGCGGUGAAAUGCAUAGAUAUGUCUUAGAACUCCGAUUGCGAAGGCAGCUCACUAAGUUAGUAUUGACGCUGAUGCACGAAAGCGUGGGGAUCAAACAGGAUUAGAUACCCUGGUAGUCCACGCCCUAAACGAUGAUAACUCGAUGUUUGCGAUACACAGUAAGCGUCCAAGCGAAAGCGUUAAGUUAUCCACCUGGGGAGUACGGUCGCAAGAUUGAAACUCAAAGGAAUUGACGGGGGCCCGCACAAGCGGAGGAGCAUGUGGUUUAAUUCGAUGAUACGCGAGGAACCUUACCCGGGCUUGAAAGUUAGUGAAUGAUCCAGAGACGGAUCAGUCCUUCGGGACACGAAACUAGGUGCUGCAUGGCUGUCGUCAGCUCGUGCCGUGAGGUGUUGGGUUAAGUCCCGCAACGAGCGCAACCCCUAUGUUUAGUUGCCAGCAUGUAAUGAUGGGGACUCUAAACAGACUGCCAGCGUAAGCUGUGAGGAAGGUGGGGACGACGUCAAGUCAUCAUGGCCCUUACGUCCGGGGCUACACACGUGCUACAAUGGAUGGUACAGCGGGCAGCUACAUAGCAAUAUGAUGCUAAUCUCUAAAAGCCAUUCACAGUUCGGAUUGAGGUCUGCAACUCGACCUCAUGAAGUUGGAUUCGCUAGUAAUCGCGUAUCAGCAAUGACGCGGUGAAUACGUUCCCGGGCCUUGUACACACCGCCCGUCAAGCCAUGAAAGUUGGGGGUACCUAAAGCAUGUAACCGCAAGGAGCGUGUUAGGGUAAAACCGAUAAUUGGGGCUAAGUCGUAACAAGGUAGCCGUACCGGAAGGUGCGGCUGGAAUACCUCCUUU
rnacentral:rRNA from 1 species